UACGGAGGGGGCUAGCGUUGUUCGGAAUUACUGGGCGUAAAGCGCGCGUAGGCGGACCUGCAAGUCGGGGGUGAAAGCCCGAGGCUCAACCUCGGAACUGCCUUCGAUACUGCGGGUCUCGAGUCCGGGAGAGGUGAGUGGAAUUCCUAGUGUAGAGGUGAAAUUCGUAGAUAUCAGGAGGAACACCAAUUGCGAAGGCAGCUCGCUGGGACGUUACUGACGCUGAGACGCGAAAGCGUGGGGAGCAAACAGG
rnacentral:rRNA from 1 species